UACAGAGGGUGCGAGCGUUAAUCGGAAUUACUGGGCUUAAAGCGUGCGCAGGCGGUUUUGUAAGCCAGAUGUGAAAGCCCCGGGCUUAACCUGGGAAUGGCAUUUGGGACUGCAAGGCUUGAGUGCGGCAGAGGAGACUGGAAUUCCUGGUGUUGCAGUGAAAUGCGUAGAUAUCAGGAGGAAUACCGAUGGCGAAGGCAGGUCUCUGGGCUGACACUGACGCUCAUGCACGAAAGCGUGGGGAGCAAACAGG
rnacentral:rRNA from 1 species